CUGCAUUACCGGCUCCGGUCGGUAAUGCAGCAAAAGCCAGAGCCGCAGCCCACAAAGCCGCGGCUCAUACUCGAAAAAUAUGACGACCAGCAGGGGCAUCCGGGCUGGUACCCGGACUAUCUGCGGGAACCCAAGUGGCUUGAUCCGAGUCGCAGCAAGAUGACUUUGAUUGGAGCCAUGCGGUAUUCACGCCGGUGGUGUCCCCUUACCGAGGGUGACCA
rnacentral:ncRNA from 1 species